UCGACGUGAUGAGAAUACUUCGAUGAGCGUCCAAGUUGAAUAAGAAUCAGAUUCGUUGGUUUACUCUCUUUGUAAUCUUGGUGAUUGUUGGCUUCCUAAGCAAUCACUGUAAGGCCAAAGAAACAUUAUCCAUAAUGGUGUUCGAAUUACGUUUGCUAGAGCUACAGAAACGUGAAUUUUUCUACCAUUUUACACGUAAAAUCUUCAGCGAGCUGACGAAUCACAUUGGUUCUGGUUCCUUGGAUGCUAAUAUGAUUCAUCUUUAGUAAUCUGAUCGAU